rnacentral:ncRNA from 1 species
CAUUUUUAUUUCAUAAUUACCUUCGUUUCCCGAAAUGAACUGUACGACUUAGUAUUCACGCCAGGCUUAAUGCCUGGCGUUUUUUUU